rnacentral:rRNA from 1 species
GACAGAGGGUGCAAACGUUGUUCGGAUUUACUGGGCGUAAAGCGCGUGUAGGCGGCUUUGCAAGUCGGAUGUGAAAGCCCACGGCUCAACCGUGGAAGUGCAUCCGAAACUGCAUGGCUUGAGUCUCGGAGAGGAAGGUGGAAUGCUUGGUGUAGAGGUGAAAUUCGUAGAUAUCAAGCAGAACACCUGCGGCGAAGGCGGCCUCUGGACGAUGACUGACGCUGAGACGCAAAAGCGUGGGGAGCAAACAGG